GGGCCUAUGGCGCAAUUGGUAGCGCGUAGUAAGUUCCACUUGCAUUCCAACAGAUUGCAAAAACAUCCUUCUAACAGAUUGAAAUAGCGACUCCAGAUCGUAAGGUUGUCCGAUCGAGCCGGGCUGGGCUCA